CCUACGGGAGGCAGCAGUGAGGAAUAUUGGUCAAUGGGCGCGCGCCUGAACCAGCCAAGUAGCGUGAAGGAUGACUGCCCUACGGGUUGUAAACUUCUUUUAUAAAGGAAUAAAGUGAGGCACGUGUGCCUUUUUGUAUGUACUUUAUGAAUAAGGAUCGGCUAACUCCGGGCCAGCAGCCGCGGUAAUACGGAGGAUCCGAGCGUUAUCCGGAUUUAUUGGGUUUAAAGGGAGAGUAGAUGGGUUGUUAAGUCAGUGGUGAAACGUUGCGGCUCAACCGUAAAAUUGCAAUUGAUAAUGGCAGACUUGAGUACAGUUGAGGUAGGCGGAAUUCGGUGUGUAGCGGUGAAAUGCUUAGAUAUCACGAAGAACUCCGAUUGCGAAGGCAGCCUACUAAACUGCCACUGACAUUGAUGCUCGAAAGUGUGGGUAUCAAACAGGAUUAGAUACCCUGGUAGUC
rnacentral:rRNA from 1 species